rnacentral:rRNA from 1 species
UAUCUCUGUAGAGUCUGCAUAUCAAUAAGCGGAGGAAAAGAAACUAACAAGGAUUCCCUUAGUAACGGCGAGUGAAGCGGGAAGAGCUCAAAUUUGAAAUCUUCAAGGUUCUACCUUGACGAAUUGUAGUUUAAAGAAGUGUUUUCUGUUAGAUGAGUAGCAAAAGUUCCUUGGAAUGGGACAUCAUAGAGGGUGAGAAUCCCGUAUUUGGUUAUUCAUUCUAGCUUUGUGAUACACUUUCAAAGAGUCGGAUUGUUUGGGAAUGCAGUCCAAAAUGGGUGGUAAAUUUCAUCUAAAGCUAAAUAUUGGCGAGAGACCGAUAGCGAACAAGUACCGUGAGGGAAGAUGAAAAGAACUUUGAAAAGAGAGUUAAACAGUACGUGAAAUUGUCAAAAGGGAAGCGUUUGACACCAGUGUUGUUUUUCCGAAAAUCAAUUACGAAUGGCUUGAUUUUGUGUUGUAUUGACCUUAUCAGCUUUCUGCACUUUUUUCGAGUCUCUCUUAAUGCACUUUUCGGUUAACAAGUCAACAUCAAUUUCUUUUGUUGUAAAAGAGUAUUCGGAAGGUGGCUUUCUUUUCGGAGAAAGUGUUUAUAGCCCUAUACUUCUACAAUCGGAGAGAUUGAGGUCUGCAGCGUAGAUCCUUCGGGGUUAGAUACACUUGUGCUAAGUUGUAGCUUUUCAUAGACAACUUGUUGACUAUGUUUAGUCAUGCGGCUUACUCGCUUGUGCUAUUUUACCUACGCUUAGGAUGUUGACUGAUAUGUAGUCGUAA